rfam:Helianthus annuus linkage group 15, whole genome shotgun sequence.
UCCCCCGAUGAUGAACACAAAUCAAAAUAAAACGUUAAAAGUAGUGAACUGAUCACUAUAGAUUGAUGAGUGAUAUGUUCUGAGGGGAA